rnacentral:rRNA from 1 species
UACGUAGGGUGCAAGCGUUGUCCGGAAUUAUUGGGCGUAAAGAGCUCGUAGGCGGUCUGUCGCGUCGGCUGUGAAAACCCGGGGCUCAACCCCGGGCCUGCAGUCGAUACGGGCAGACUAGAGUGCGGUAGGGGAGACUGGAAUUCCUGGUGUAGCGGUGAAAUGCGCAGAUAUCAGGAGGAACACCGGUGGCGAAGGCGGGUCUCUGGGCCGUAACUGACGCUGAGGCGCGAAAGCGUGGGGAGCGAACCGG